AUACCUUGGAACAAUUCUAUUUUGUCGGUUCAUUAUAAGACCCUUGUUCAUUAAAGGCAAAAAUUCUCCUAGUUAACUUUUUUACAUGCAUUAUAACAGCUAAUAGUUUUUUUUUUUUUUCUUAGUGAGUUGCCAUUGAUUGGAUCCGGUCAUAAUAAAAGUGCCCAUCUUUGUCCUUUUCAUGUGUUCAUAUUUUAGGGUCUUUCAAUUAGUAAUACAAAAAGGUUGGUAAGGUUGAAAAGAAAAGAUUUGAAAUUUAUUGGCUUUUUCCCUCUUCUGAUAUCCUUUUUUAAGCUUCAUUCAUCAUAUCCUUUCUGGCUUCCUGGGUUUUUGUUUCAAAGUUUGAUUUUGAUCCCUUUUUGGGCUGUCCAAGGGAAGAUAAAUUCUGGGUUUUGUUUGGUUUUUUGAGUUCUGAUUCCAGGUCUUAAUCUUUCAUUAUGUUUUUGAGGAAAAUCUGCUGUUUUCUAGCAGAUUUUAAGGGUUUCUUCUGAAGGGAAAACAGAAUUGAGUUCGUGCCAAAUGUUAUAAGGUUUGAAGGUUUGAUGAUCAAGUUUAGUAGGGUUUUGGGUGGUGGGGGGUUUUGGUUUUUGAGGAAAUGAAAAGGAAUCCUUUUUGUGCUUGUGACGAUGCUGAUGAUACAAGGACACAUGGGUGUCAUAAGAAAAAAUUGUUUGGGGUUUUUGGUAGUUCUGCUUUGUGUAUCAUUGGCUGUCAGCUUAGAUUACAGGAAGGUUGGAGAAGAAGCAUUUCUUAACCAAUUAGUAGAUCCAGCAACUGGGGAGAUUGAUGAGAAUCUGGCUGAGUUGUUGUGGAUAAGUUGCAGACAAGAUUUGAAUGAUUUAAAGGAAGCUUUUGAAGAUCCCAAGUUAUAUCUUCUGGGGGAAACAUCCAGUACAACCAAUGAUAUCACUACAAAAGGUUACUUAUUGGCAAAAGAAAACAUUCAGAAAUUGAUUAGUGUUUUCCAUCCCCAGUUAAAACAAGCUCUUUCAGACUGCAUAAGAAGGAAUAAUCUUCUUUUCCAAAUAUCUGGAGAAGAUAGAGGCUUUCAGACUUGGUACACCAGAUAUUUUGAGUCAUUGUUUCACUGGCGUGAUGUUCCUAGAAGGAAUUUAGCUACUCAGAGCCUUGCAGUAGCCCCUGCCUCGAAAUUAGACCCAUUGCCAUCCCCAGCUCCAGCCCCUUCUCCUGCAUCUGAAUCUCCUGAUUUCAGUCCAGAUCCAUUGCAAAGUGUGGCACCUUCACCCUCUCCACUUCCUAUACCUUCUCACCAAGCUGCGCCUCCAAUAAAUGAUAUUCUUCGAGCCGACAGAGAUUCAGCAAAUAAAGGGACUGAUAACAGUAAAACAAUUAUUGUUGCUUGUGUUGUGACUGCAGUAGCAACAUCUGUUGUUGCAGCAUUGUUCUUCUUUUUAUGCUGCCGUAGAGAUUCUGGAGCUAAGCAAAAUGAUGAGAGGCCCCUUCUCAGUUUAAGCUUAAGUGAAUUCUCUGCUGGUUCUCCUGCAUAUGCUUUUGGAUCUAAUAAAGAAGAGAAGCUUGGUCACGAAUCAUUUGGUAAUGAAUCAAGCCUACAUAAAAAGCCUUCAACUAAUGGUAAUGCUUAUAUUGAAUCUAAUGUUCUACAAAUCUCCUCGGAUGGAAAGUCAUCAUUUGGAGCUGUUGCUGGUGGCACCAAAGCUUCAGCUGAAUCUUCUGAUACGUCAGGCAAUACUAAUUCACUACUACCACUGCCUCCAGGAAGGGUGGGUACUUCCCCUCCUGGAUUACCUCCUUUGAAGCCCCCUCCUGGCAGAGCAGAUCCUCUCCCUCCUGAACCUCCUGCCCCAAUUAGGGCCAGUCCUCCUCCACCACCUCCCUCUAUGAAACCUACUUCUGCCAAUAUAGGCCUCCGACCUCCUCCACCACCUAUACCUCCGGGUACCAAACCUGGUCCUCGCCCACCACCUCCUCCAAGUACUGCUCUGGCUCCUCCUAGGCCACCUCCAUCAAUGCCCUUAGGUCCCAAGAUGCCUCGGCCACCAAUUGGACCACAAAAACCAGCAAAUGCUAUCUCUGGUGAAGGAUCUGGCUCAGGUGAUGAUGCCAAUGCUCCUAAAGCCAAACUGAAGCCAUUUUUCUGGGAUAAAGUUGCAGCCAACCCUGAUCAUUCAAUGGUCUGGAAUCAGAUUAAAUCUGGAUCAUUCCAGUUCAAUGAGGAGAUGAUAGAAACUCUCUUUGGCUAUGCAACUGUUGACAAGAACAAAAAUGAUAGGAAGAAAGAGCCUUCUACACAGGAUUCUGUGCCUCAGUAUAUUCAACUCCUUGAUCACAAGAAAGCACAAAAUUUAGCAAUCCUUUUGCGGGCAUUAAAUGUGACCACAGAAGAAGUUUGUGAUGCACUUCGUGAAGGAAAUGAGCUUCCUGUUGAACUUCUUCAAACUUUAUUGAAAAUGGCACCAACAGCAGAUGAAGAACUCAAACUUAGACUGUUCAGUGGUGAAAUUUCCCAACUUGGUCCUGCUGAGCGGUUCCUAAAAGUCUUGGUUGACAUCCCUUUUGCUUUUAAACGAAUGGAAACACUGCUUUUUAUGUGUUCUCUUCAUGAGGAGGUUACUGUCACUAGAGAGUCCUUUCAAACAUUAGAGGUUGCUUGCAAGGAACUCAGAAGUAGCCGCCUAUUCCUCAAGAUCUUAGAAGCUGUUCUUAAAACUGGAAAUCGCAUGAAUGAUGGUACAUUCCGUGGUGGUGCACAGGCUUUCAAACUUGACACGCUUUUGAAGUUAUCAGAUGUUAAAGGAGUAGAUGGCAAGACCACGCUAUUGCACUUUGUUGUCCAAGAAAUAAUACGCACUGAAGGUUUGAGAGCUGCCCGUGUUGCAAGAGAAAGCAAAAGUUUUAUCAGCAUAAAAUCCGAUGAUCUUCUUGAGGAUGUUUCUCCUGAUAUGGAAGAGCACUUCCGCAGCCUUGGUCUUCAGGUGGUUUCAAAUCUGAGUAGUGAACUUGAAAAUGUCAAGAAAGCGGCAGCUUUUGAUGCUGAAAACUUAACUGGAACUGUUGCCAAACUUGGCCAUGCACUCCUGAAGACACGUGAUUUCUUGAACUCAGAGAUGAAAAGUACAGCGGAAGAAAGUGGUUUUCACGAAACAUUAAAGAGUUUUGUGCAGAAUUCUGAGGUUGAUGUCAUGUCGUUGCUUGAGGAAGAGAAGAGAAUAAUGGCUUUGGUGAAGAGCACUGGUGAUUAUUUUCAUGGUAAUACACAGAAGGAUGAGGGCUUACGCUUGUUUGUCAUCAUACGGGAUUUUUUGAUAAUUUUGGAUAAGGUUUGCAAAGAGGUUAGAGAUGCCAUGAGGACUUCAGUAAAAGCACAUAAAAAACAGGUGUCCAAUGCAUCAUCAUCCUCUGAGUCUCAUUUUGAACCACCUUCUUCUGAUCCUCGUCAGAAGCUUUUUCCUGCAAUUGCUGAGAGAAGGAUGCAUGAUUCUAGUUCUAGUUCUGAUUCAGAUGAUGAGAGUUGAUAGUGUUCAUUUGAAGAAGAUGGAUGUUAUGUUUGCAGUUGAUCAAGAUGGAAAGCUGCCAAAGCAUUAGUGCCACAAUCGAUCAAUGAAAGGAAUACAUCUAAAGUACCAGCAGAAAGGGGCUCUGCGAAUGGCAUUAGCUCUUCAAUGCUAGAUUUUUAUGGAGCUAACAUCGCAAAGUGCCAUUGACCUUCCUUUGGUAUUUGAUUCAUGGUUCUUGUUGAUUUCCCCUCAUCUGCCCAUCUUGUGCAUUAGAUAUAAAGGAUAAAAGGGUCGGACAGAUGCAUUACUAUCAAAAUAUUUAUGAGAAAAAGCCUGAACAUAAAGGAGGGAAGACGUGGAAUGGAGCUAGUCAGCUGAAAUCCAAUGAAAUUGAAAACCAAUAAUCCCUUCGCACACCUUUGCAUCAUUUCAUAGUGUUUGUCAACCUGUCCUUUCAUGCAUAUCAAGUCACUGGCAACUGGAAACUGGGAUAAUAUCAACGAUAAACUGUAGUCUCGUGAAAAUUGAUUAACAGUGAAGCUGGAAGCUCUACAGUGUCAGCCUCUAAGGACUCUUUUCUUGGAUUGCAAGUCUACGGUUCCUGCUUAUUGAUCAUCACAGUUGCAGAGAAAUUUGAGUGAUUACACAAUCAUGUUUUUGAGCUUUUCAUCCAAGAAAAGAAUAAGGGCUAUGUUCCACCAUAUCAAAUUAUUGUCAGAAUAACAGAAACAGAAGAGAUAGAGUAGACUAGGUUUUUCAAUGGUGGUCUCCUGUCUGUAUUAUUCUGAACAAACUUGGUAGCUGUUGUAUUAUCGAAAUGUUAUUGUCAUUUAUCUGAAACUUUAAUGAAAAAUAUACAAUCUUGUUGAAAUUGACUGAAGGGUAUGACAUAAAAAAUAGAUGGUUUUUCAAAUCCUGCCAGAAACCUACUUCUGAGAAAAAAAAGAUGAUCAUUUUGACACAUCUUCGAUAAUAACUCUUCCCUCGGUCACCAGAAAAGCAUCAAUUCAUUAGCGGGAGACUCAUUCAAGAGGUUUGUCUCCUAGGGUAGUCCAACAGUGCAUAAGGUAACUGAAUCAGAUAGCUUAUCAUAUAAUCUAAGAACUUUCCCAAGAGCACAGUUGAUUGGUUUCAGACAGAACAGGCUUAUAUAUGCCCAACUACCAGGU